ensembl:lncRNA
GAAGGAUCAGGUCAUGUAUAGACUGUUAAUCCAGACAAAACUGAAGACCAGGAACUGAAACCUGGGAACCUGGAAGAUUAUGUUGUCCUGAAGGACACAAUUCAGGCAGCAGCAUGGUGCCAUUUACAGUCCUUCAAGGACAGCGUUUCUCUCCCAGAGGUCAUUGGGAUGGAAGGUUGGGAGCAGAUGGCAGCAUCAACACAGCGCGAAUCCCAUGACGGCGGGGAUGAGGAAGAAACGUGGAAACCAUUCCAAUUCUCGUUCAGAUUACAUACUGACUAUGAACUGUUCUGUGUGGAGAUGUUGGACAGGAGAAACCUGAAGGUGUUUGCCUCUUUUGAGUCGAACACCUCUCCCCCUCCCCGUGACGCCUGCGCCACACGACUCCAAUGUAGUCUGAUGAUGCAGCAUAAUGGCGGCACUUGGCAGCUAUGGCGGCGGUGACGGCGAUGUCGGGCGACAGAGCGUGAAGCAAGAGUGGCGUCCACCUCACUGAGGAAGGCGUCAGUGUGUUCCCCCCCCCCCUGUUGAGGGCUUUGUUUGUUC